UACAAAACAUUUGGCUUAUAUACUAAGUCUGUUCUGAAUUCAAUAUUAUAGUGCCAGUUCCUGAUUUAGCUUAUGCUCAGCAUAGCCUGGUUUCCUAAUAUCCCCCACUAUUUUAACUCCCACUAUUAAGUGUAAUUUUGCCUUGUGUGGGUAGUAGCGUCACAGUACUCCAGUUAAAUCACCGUAGCUAGUCGCACUCUGUAAACCUCCGCAGUAUUACAAUCUGUGAAACAGGCUGUGAGCUGAACGAAAAACUGGCAUGGAUAUUUUUGUGUAGCUUGACAGUAGAAGGAGGUGUGUGGGUACCACUAAGAGGAAAGGAGGGACUGGUAUGGUAUGACACAGAAACACACUGACAUGGAAAAAAGGAAAAUAUAGAAAAAAAUCUGUAUGUUUAUAAAA